ensembl:snRNA U6 U6 spliceosomal RNA
AUGCUCGUUUUGGCAGCACAUAUACUAAAGCUGGAAGGAUAGAGAGAUUAGCAUGGCCCCUGCACAAGGAUGACACAUAAAUAUCUGUGAAUAUAUAUAAUAAG